rnacentral:rRNA from 1 species
UAAAGGAAGCGAUUCCGGCUACGGAUGGUCAUGCGUCGCAUUAGCUUGUUGGCGGGGUAACGGCCCACCAAGGCGACGAUGCGUAGGGGUUCUGAGAGGAAGGUCCCCCACACUGGUACUGAGACACGGACCAGACUCCUACGGGAGGCAGCAGUGAGGAAUAUUGGUCAAUGGCCGCAGGGCUGAACCAGCCAAGUCGCGUGAGGGAUGACGGUCCUAUGGAUUGUAAACCUCUUUUGUCAGGGAGCAAAGGGCGCCACGUGUGGCGCUUUGCGAGUACCUGAAGAAAAAGCAUCGGCUAACUCCGUGCCAGCAGCCGCGGUAAUACGGAGGAUGCGAGCGUUAUCCGGAUUUAUUGGGUUUAAAGGGUGCGCAGGCGGAAUGUCAAGUCAGCGGUAAAAUUUCGGGGCUCAACCCCGUCGUGCCGUUGAAACUGGCGUUCUUGAGUGAGCGAGAAGUAUGCGGAAUGCGUGGUGUAGCGGUGAAAUGCAUAGAUAUCACGCAGAACUCCGAUUGCGAAGGCAGCAUACCGGCGCUCAACUGACGCUCAUGCACGAAAGCGUGGGUAUCGAACAGGAUUAGAUACCCUGGUAGUCCACGCAGUA